rnacentral:snoRNA from 15 species
UUCUAUGAUGAACAAGAGCAAAAUGCUCGAUAUAAUCCCAGCUCGUUGAAUGGUCUCAAUUUUAUAUCUCACGUAGAGGCCAUGUUGAGAUGAUAUUCUAUCCUGAUCC